rnacentral:rRNA from 1 species
GACCUGAUGCAGCCAUGCCGCGUGUGUGAAGAAGGCCUUCGGGUUGUAAAGCACUUUCAGUUGUGAGGAAAAGUUAGUAGUUAAUACCUGCUAGCCGUGACGUUAACAACAGAAGAAGCACCGGCUAACUCCGUGCCAGCAGCCGCGGUAAUACGGAGGGUGCGAGCGUUAAUCGGAAUUACUGGGCGUAAAGCGCACGCAGGCGGUUUGUUAAGCUAGAUGUGAAAGCCCCGGGCUCAACCUGGGAUGGUCAUUUAGAACUGGCAGACUAGAGUCUUGGAGAGGGGAGUGGAAUUCCAGGUGUAGCGGUGAAAUGCGUAGAUAUCUGGAGGAACAUCAGUGGCGAAGGCGACUCCCUGGCCAAAGACUGACGCUCAUGUGCGAAAGUGUGGGUAGCGAACAGGAUUAGAUACCCUGGUAGUCCACACCGUAAACGCUGUCUACUAGCUGUUUGUGACUUUAAGUCGUGAGUAGCGAAGCUAACGCGAUAAGUAGACCGCCUGGGGAGUACGGCCGCAAGGUUAAAACUCAAAUG